UCCUUGAAUUCUUUGGUGCAUAUAUGCGAGAAAUGUUCACCAGUUGUCGCAUUUCUAAGUAACACCACAGGGAAGUCUCCCUCAACCACCCACAACCAAUCUCACCUUCUUUUUUAGUUCUUCAAAUCAUUCCAUAGCGUUCUUCUCUCUUUACCUUCACUCCUAUUGUACACCCCAAUAGAUACCCAUUUUUGUUCAUUCCUAAGAUCUUUAAACAGGUAGGAAAUGGAACACUCACCCCCAACGUCUACGCAUUUUGUAAAUCCCUUCUUCCAUAACAGAAGGAUACCUUGAGCUUCUUCUCUUGCUGGCAUAUCACGUCCAGGUUCCAUAUGUUCAUACAAUCCCUGAUUAUUUGUCUCUUCUUGUCAUUGUUUAUGCCCAUGCUAUGAUCGUCCAAACAUCAUUAAAUCAUACUGGAUCCUCCUUUGCCCGUCUUAUCCCCUUUCCUUGGGAUGUCGUAAUUAAUUGUUUACUGCAGUCUCUUUACCCUUGAUCUUAACCUAAGUCCUCUCUUCCUUCUUAUUCUCCUUUCCUUUUUCUCUCAGUUUUUCUGAAUAGAGCCAUGACUUGCUCAUCUAAAUCAUUAGAAGUAACCUCUAUCAUUGUGCUAAUUUUCUGACGAUUUUCAAGGACCCAUCUGGAGCUUUUUUCUUUAAUGAGAGCACUUAUCCUCUCCCCCUUAUUUUCUUCUUUUGCUCCCUCUCUGUGCACUACAGUUGACGUUUCCUCCUCAUCAGGAUCAUCCACCACCGUUUCCUCCUUCACUAGGAUAAUUGCCAUAACAUAAUUCAUCCCCGUCCUGGUUACAUUGUCCUUAGUUUGGCCAUCCUCAAACCACAUUCCCAAGAUGUGACCAUCUCCCGAGUCAUCCACUUUUCGGCUUUGAUCUGUCUCACCCAUACCUCCACCUCCAACAUUGGUGUUAAUGGCUAACUUACCUAUCUUUUGCAUUGUUGACCGUACCAUCCUUCUUCCACUGCUAUUGGUGAUCGUAAAUGUUAGAGUUUUUCUUUUGUUCACGGGUCUGGGCACGGGUCUCAAUACGAGUCUUAGACUCGGCCUCCUGACCCAUUUUUUCAACCCAUGGCCCUCUAUAUGGGUCUGUGCGCGGUUUUACUCAGGUGCCUGUCUCUUGUAAACAUCUUCCAUGCCCUUUUAUUCCCAAAA